rnacentral:rRNA from 1 species
UACGUAGGGUGCGAGCGUUGUCCGGAAUUAUUGGGCGUAAAGAGCUUGUAGGUGGCUCGUUGCGUCGGGAGUGAAAACCUGCGGCUUAACCGCAGGCCUGCUUCCGAUACGGGCGAGCUAGAGUUCGGCAGGGGAGACUGGAAUUCCUGGUGUAGCGGUGGAAUGCGCAGAUAUCAGGAGGAACACCGAUGGCGAAGGCAGGUCUCUGGGCCACUACUGACGCUGGAGAAGCGAAAGCAUGGGGAGCGAACAGG